rnacentral:rRNA from 1 species
GACGAACGCUGGCGGCGUGCUUAACACAUGCAAGUCGAACGAAGAGCGACGGAAGCUUGCUUCUAUCAAUCUUAGUGGCGAACGGGUGAGUAACGCGUAAUCAACCUGCCCUUCAGAGGGGGACAACAGUUGGAAACGACUGCUAAUACCGCAUACGAUCUAAUCUCGGCAUCGAGGAUGGAUGAAAGGUGGCCUCUACAUGUAAGCUAUCACUGAAGGAGGGGAUUGCGUCUGAUUAGCUAGUUGGAGGGGUAACGGCCCACCAAGGCGAUGAUCAGUAGCCGGUCUGAGAGGAUGAACGGCCAAAUUGGGACUGAGACACGGCCCAGACUCCUACGGGAGGCAGCAGUGGGGAAUCUUCCGCAAUGGACGAAAGUCUGACGGAGCAACGCCGCGUGAGUGAUGACGGCCGUCGGGUUGUAAAGCUCGGUUAAUCGGGACGAAAGGCCUUCUUGCGAAUAGGGAGAAGGAUUGACGGUACCGGAAGAGAAAGCCACGGCUAACUACGUG